rnacentral:tRNA from 1 species
GCCGGUGUGAUGGAAUUGGCAGACAUCCGCGACUCAAAAUCGCGUGCCCUUGCGGGCGUGUGGGUUCGACUCCCACCACCGGCACAA